rnacentral:rRNA from 1 species
GACGAACGCUGGCGGCGUGCUUAACACAUGCAAGUCGAACGGAAAGGCCCUGCUUUUGUGGGGUGCUCGAGUGGCGAACGGGUGAGUAACACGUGAGUAACCUGCCCUUGACUUUGGGAUAACUUCAGGAAACUGGGGCUAAUACCGGAUAGGAGCUCCUGCUGCAUGGUGGGGGUUGGAAAGUUUCGGCGGUCGGGGAUGGACUCGCGGCUUAUCAGCUUGUUGGUGGGGUAGUGGCUUACCAAGGCUUUGACGGGUAGCCGGCCUGAGAGGGUGACCGGCCACAUUGGGACUGAGAUACGGCCCAGACUCCUACGGGAGGCAGCAGUGGGGAAUAUUGCACAAUGGGCGGAAGCCUGGUGCAGCAACGCCGCGUGCGGGAUGACGGCCUUCGGGUUGUAAACCGCUUUCGCCUGUGACGAAGCGUGAGUGACGGUAAUGGGUAAAGAAGCACCGGCUAACUACGUG